rnacentral:rRNA from 1 species
AGAGUUUGAUCCUGGCUCAGGACGAACGCUGGCGGCGCGCCUAACACAUGCAAGUCGAACGGAGCUUAGAGAGCUUGCUUUUUAAGCUUAGUGGCGAACGGGUGAGUAACGCGUGAGUAACCUGCCCUAGAGUGGGGGACAACAGUUGGAAACGACUGCUAAUACCGCAUAAGCCCACGGUACCGCAUGGCACUGAGGGAAAAGGAUUUAUUCGCUUUAGGAUGGACUCGCGUCCAAUUAGCUAGUUGGUGAGGUAACGGCCCACCAAGGCGACGAUUGGUAGCCGGACUGAGAGGUUGAACGGCCACAUUGGGACUGAGACACGGCCCAGACUCCUACGGGAGGCAGCAGUGGGGGAUAUUGCACAAUGGGGGAAACCCUGAUGCAGCGACGCCGCGUGGAGGAAGAAGGUUUUCGGAUUGUAAACUCCUGUCGUUAGGGACGAUAAUGACGGUACCUAACAAGAAAGCACCGGCUAACUACGUGCCAGCAGCCGCGGUAAAACGUAGGGUGCAAGCGUUGUCCGGAAUUACUGGGUGUAAAGGGAGCGCAGGCGGGAAGACAAGUUGGAAGUGAAAACCAUGGGCUCAACCCAUGAAUUGCUUUCAAAACUGUUUUUCUUGAGUAGUGCAGAGGUAGAUGGAAUUCCCGGUGUAGCGGUGGAAUGCGUAGAUAUCGGGAGGAACACCAGUGGCGAAGGCGGUCUACUGGGCACCAACUGACGCUGAGGCUCGAAAGCAUGGGUAGCAAACAGGAUUAGAUACCCUGGUAGUCCAUGCCGUAAACGAUGAUUACUAGGUGUUGGGGGGAUUGACCCCCUCAGUGCCGCAGUUAACACAAUAAGUAAUCCACCUGGGGGAGUACGACCGCAAGGUUGAAACUCAAAGGAAUUGACGGGGGGCCCGCACAAGCAGUGGAAGUAUGUGGUUUAAUUCGAAGCAACGCGAAGAACCUUACCAGGUCUUGACAUCCGAUGCAUAGCACAGAGAUGUGUGAAAUCCUUCGGGACAUCGAGACAGGUGGUGCAUGGUUGUCGUCAGCUCGUGUCGUGAGAUGUUGGGUUAAGUCCCGCAACGAGCGCAACCCUUAUUGCCAGUUACUACGUUAAGAGGACUCUGGCGAGACUGCCGUUGACAAAACGGAGGAAGGUGGGGAUGACGUCAAAUCAUCAUGCCCUUUAUGACCUGGGCUACACACGUACUACAAUGGCGUUAAACAAAGAGAAGCAAGACCGCGAGGUGGAGCAAAACUCAAAAACAACGUCUCAGUUCAGAUUGCAGGCUGCAACUCGCCUGCAUGAAGUCGGAAUUGCUAGUAAUCGCGGAUCAGCAAGCCGCGGUGAAUACGUUCCCGGGCCUUGCACACACCGCCCAA